UACGAAGGGGGCUAGCGUUGUUCGGAAUUACUGGGCGUAAAGCGCACGUAGGCGGGUCGUUAAGUCAGGGGUGAAAUCCCAGAGCUCAACUCUGGAACUGCCUUUGAUACUGGCGACCUAGAGUUCGGAAGAGGUUAGUGGAAUUCCGAGUGUAGAGGUGAAAUUCGUAGAUAUUCGGAGGAACACCAGUGGCGAAGGCGGCUCACUGGCUCGGUACUGACGCUGAGGUGCGAAAGCGUGGGGAGCAAACAGG
rnacentral:rRNA from 1 species